GAGAAUUCUUAAGAAGUGUUCAAUAUGUAAAUGUGGUAUUGAGGACAGUUUUUCGACGAGCAAAUCUUUUCUUGAAGAAAAUAACAGUUUUAAAACCGAAGUGAGUUAGUCAUGUGUUCAAAUCCUGACGCCUGUGAUGUUCAAAUGGAUCGGAUCACGUGACGAAAACAGCGCAAGGUGUAACUCAGCUUGGUGAGCGGGAAAACAUGUGGAGUAUAAAUUGACUAUACACGUGUUUAAGGCUAUUUAUUCAGCGUAUGGCUACAAAUCCAGGAUUUUUGAAUUCUUAAAUAAGUCCAUUUUGACUGACAUUGAAGUUGGAUAAGGGCACCGUUCUCUGAUUUUUAGGAAAACCCAUCUUUGAGUUCAGUCUGCAUUGCGACAACAAUCAAUCCUGUCUGCGUAGUUGUACAAGAAAGUGGACCAAUAUUAGGACUGGAUAAAGAGAGAUGGCUAAAUCAAAGUCAAAGAGGAUACAUGUAUUCAAGCACUUCAAAAAGAAGAAAGAGAAACCCGAAACUACACACGAAAUA